CCUACGGGUGGCAGCAGUGAGGAAUAUUGGUCAAUGGGCGAGAGCCUGAACCAGCCAAGUCGCGUGCAGGAAGACGGUCCUAUGGAUUGUAAACCUCUUUUGUCGGGGAGCAAAAAGGCCUCGUGAGGCCACAAGUGAGAGUACCCGAAGAAAAAGCAUCGGCUAACUCCGUGCCAGCAGCCGCGGUAAUACGGAGGAUGCGAGCGUUAUUCGGAUUUAUUGGGUUUAAAGGGUGCGUAGGCGGACUGGAAAGUCACCGGGAAAAUCGCGAGGCUCAACCGCGUUCCGCCGUUGAAACUGGCGUGCUUGAGUGGGCGGGAAGUAUGCGGAAUUCGUGGUGUAGCGGUGAAAUGCUUAGAUAUGACGCAGAACCCCGAUUGCGAAGGCAGCUUGCUAAGCCAGGACUGACGCUGAUGCACGAAAGCAUGGGGAUCAAACAGGAUUAGAUACCCGUGUAGUC
rnacentral:rRNA from 1 species